rnacentral:lncRNA from 1 species
AACCAAUUGUUCCCAAGGGAUGAGGUCUUAUGCUGCCGUUGAAACCACCAAUUGCCCCCAGGAGGCCCAUAUUGUAGGGAGAAAUACUUCCAGAUAAGAAAGUGAAAUAAAGCAUGGGAAAGCACAGCAUGACAGUGUGCAAGCGGCAAAACAGUGUGUUCCAAAACAUAGGUCUGCAGCACAAUAUAGAUAUCCCAGCAUGGUCCUUCAGCAAAAGCAUAGUCCUUACAAGCAGCACAGUAUAGUGGUCUGAAGCAGCUGAAGAUGACAUUUGAUAGCACAGCAUAACAAAGCAGUAGAAA